rnacentral:rRNA from 1 species
AGAGUUUGAUCAUGGCUCAGAUUGAACGCUGGCGGCAUGCUUAAUACAUGCAAGUCGAACGGUAACAUGCCCUCCGGGGUGAUGACGAGUGGCGGACGGGUGAGUAACGCAUAGGAAUCUACCUAGUAGUGGGGGACAACUUGGGGAAACUCAAGCUAAUACCGCAUACAUCCUACGGGAAAAAGAGGGCCUCUUCUUGAAAGCUCUUGCUAUUAGAUGAGCCUAUGUCAGAUUAGCUUGUUGGUGGGGUAACGGCCUACCAAGGCGACGAUCUGUAGCUGGUCUGAGAGGAUGAUCAGCCACACUGGGACUGAGACACGGCCCAGACUCCUACGGGAGGCAGCAGUAGGGAAUAUUGGACAAUGGGCGCAAGCCUGAUCCAGCAAUGCCGCGUGUGUGAAGAAGGCCUGCGGGUUGUAAAGCACUUUCAAUUAGGAAGAAAAGCUCAAGGUUAAUAACCUUGAGUCUUGACAUUAUCAAUAGAAGAAGCACCGGCUAACUCUGUGCCAGCAGCCGCGGUAAUACAGAGGGU